CUCUGGACUUUGAAUCCAGCAAUCCGAGUUCAAAUCUCGGUGGAACCU
rfam:Trichuris suis C399945.1, whole genome shotgun sequence.